rnacentral:rRNA from 1 species
CUUGGUGUCCUUUGCGAAAGGGGUACACCCGUUCCCAUCCCGAACACGGAAGUUAAGCCUUUCAGCGCCGAUGGUACUUGGGAUUAUUCUCAGGGAGAGUAGGUCGGUGCCAAGA